rnacentral:rRNA from 1 species
GUCUACGGCCAUACCACGUUGAAAGCACCAGUUCUCGUCCGAUCACUGAAGUUAAGCAACGUCGGGCUCGGUUAGUACUUGGAUGGGUGACCGCCUGGGAACACCGAGUGCUGUUGAAA